GCUUCCUAGGGAGGGAGGCUGGGGCGGCAAGGCGGGCGCGGGUGGUCCUUGCCCCGCGCCAGCUCGCCAGGCCACGUCGCUGGCGUUUUUCCAGCGCUGGGUCACCUGCGGGCCGGCGGGUUCCCGCGGCGAACAGCUGGGUGGUAUGGAUACGCCGCUCGAGCCUCCGCAGCGUCAGGUCGCCAGGGUCCGCCCUGCCACUCGCCCCACCUUGAGCUACCUCUGAAGAAAAGAUGAUGGCCCGGUGCGGUGGCUCACGCCUGUAAUCCCAGCACUUUGGGAGGCCGAGUCAGGCGGAUCACCUGAGCAGUGUAAAGAAAGUCUGAAGAAUACUCCAGGAAAAUUGAGGAAACUAAAGCUAUUUCUACUACUGGUCUCAUAAUUGCAAAGCCAGUGCCUACCAUGAUAAGUGCUCUCUUACUUGGUAUGAAGGAAAUGAUUUUCUUCCCUUGCUAUUUUUUUUAGUAAGUAUAUUAUUUUAUUGCUACAUUAGAAAUGAAAAUACACUCUGAGAAGCUGCAAAGGCAUGCAACUUCAUAAAGAUUAUGAAGCAAUGGAGACACUCAUAGAAGGUUAAAAUUGGCUUUUCCUGUAGGAGGUGCAAAGACUAUACACACACAGGUCAUCAAUGGUUAGAUUAUUGGCAGCAUCUGCCAUGUGGAAUUUAUGUGCCAAUGGGAAGAUUUUUGGUGUUUUGCUUUGUUUUGUUUUGUUUUGAGACGGAGUCUUAUUCUGUCACCCAGGCUAGAAUACAGUGGCAUGAUCUUGGCUCACUACAACCUCCGCCUCCCGGGUUCAAGUGAUUCACCCGCCUGAGACUUCCAUGUAGCUGGGAUUGCAGGCAUACACCACCAUGCCUAAUUCAUUUUUUUCUUUGUUUGUUUGAGAUGGAGUCUCACUCUGUCACCCAGGCUGGAGUGCAGUGUCAUGAUCUCAGCUCACUGCAACCUCCGCCUCCCGGGUUCAAGCGAUUCUCCUGCCUCAGUCUCCCGAGUAGCUGUGACUACAGACAUGUGCCACCACACCUGGCUAAUUUUUGUAUUUUUAAUAGAGACAGGGCUUAGCCAUGUUGGCCAGGGUGGUCUCGAACUCCUGACCUCAGGUGAUCCACCCACCUCAGCCUACCAAAGAUUACAGACGUGAGCCAUCAUGCCCAGCCCCCAUUAUAUGAUGUUUGAACACCGUAUUUCUCCUGCUGGAUAGUUUCCUUGGAAGAAAGCCUAUUUUUUUCUCCAGUGUU
rnacentral:lncRNA from 1 species